rnacentral:rRNA from 1 species
UACGUAGGGUGCAAGCGUUGUCCGGAAUUAUUGGGCGUAAAGAGCUCGUAGGCGGUUUGUCGCGUCUGCUGUGAAAACCUAAGGCUCAACCUUGGGCUUGCAGUGGGUACGGGCAGACUAGAGUGCGGUAGGGGUGACUGGAAUUCCUGGUGUAGCGGUGGAAUGCGCAGAUAUCAGGAGGAACACCGAUGGCGAAGGCAGGUCUCUGGGCCGAUACUGACGCUGGAGGAGCGAAAAGCCGUGGGGGAGCGAACAGG